GCAUGGUUGGUCCAGUGGCAGAAUUGCCGCCUGCCAACUGUUGGAGGUCUUCUUCGACAGCAGUUCGCGGCAGACCCGGGUUCGAUUCCCGGACCAUGCA